rnacentral:lncRNA from 10 species
UUUUGCUUUGUGUAGGCAGAGUUCCUGUCUCAAGAAGAGGUUUGGCAGUAACAAAGUUUAGCUAUUCUGCUGGCCAUCACUCCGGAAAGUGUUCCCACGAAGUGGCUGACUUAAAAAGUUUGCUGUUUGCCCAACAUUAUGCUAAUUCAUCUGAAAUGGAACUGUCAGCGGCUGCAGAAUGUCUUUACCUUUCUUGAGAAUUGAAGAAAUUUAUCUUCACUGGAAGCCUUAAUACUAAGCACCCUUUUUUUUUUUUUUUUUUUUUUUUGGCGUUCUUGGUCUUUUCUUCCAGGAGGUGGCGAUAGAACAUCAUAAAUAUCAAGGUCUUUCAGCCCACAUGGCUUACUCAUCUUUCAAGUGCAAGGCAGCUCUGCGUGGAGGAUGAUCUCACUCCGGACAAGUAAACACCAAUACCACCAACCUGAGUAGGCCUUCCAUGAAAUACUGGGGACACUAAGAAGCCACACCCCCUGAAACAUUCUAUGGUCAUUCAGCAUUUGAAGCAAAUUGGAAAGGUGAAAAACCUGAUAAGUGGGUGCCUCAUGAGCUCACCGAAAAUUUUUUUAAAAAUUGUCGUUUUGAAGUGUCAUCUUCUCUUAUUCUAUGCAACAACAAUGAACCAUUUCUUGAUUGGAUUGUGAUGUGCGAGGAAAAGUGGAUUUUAUAUGACAACUGGCGAUGACCAGCUCAGUGGUUGGACCGAGAAGAAGCUCCAAAACACUUCCCAAAGCCAAACUUGCACCAAAAAAGGUCCUGGUCACUGCUUGGUGGGCUGCUGCUGGUCUGAUCCACUGCAGCUUUCUGAAUCCCUGGGAAACCAUUACACCUGAGAAGUAUGCUCAGCAAACCAAUGAGAUGCACCAAAAACUGCAAUGCCUGCAGCUGGCUUUGGUCAACAGGAAGGGCCCAAUUCUUCUCCACCACAAUGUCCGACUGCACAUCACAACCCACGCUUCAGAAGUUGAACAAAUUGGGCUACGAAGUUUUGCCUCAUCUCCCAUGUUCACCUGACCUCUCGCUGAGAAGUAGCUUUGGAGCUUCUUCUCGGUCCAAACACUGAGCUGGUCAUCGCCGGUUGUCAUAUAAAAUCCACUUUUCCUCGCACAUCACAAUCCAAUCAAGAAAUGGUUCAUUGUUGUUGCAUAGAAUAAGAGAAGAUGACACUUCAAAACUACCACUUCUUCAAGCAUCUCAACAACUUUUUGCAGGGAAAAUGCUUCCACAACCAGCAGGAUGCAGAAAAUGCUCUCCAAAAGUUUGUCAAAUCCUGAAGCAUGGAUUUUUAGGCUACAGGAAUAAACGUAUUUCUCACUGGCAGAAAUUUAUUGAUUGUAAUGAUUCCUUUUUUGGUUAAAGACAUGUUUGAGCCUAGUUAUAACGACUUACAAUUCACGGUCCAAAACUGCAAGUACUUUUUGCACCAGCGAGAUGUGCAUAUGAGAAGCUUAUUUCACCAAGCCUCUUAUCUAGUCAUCUGUAUAAUUAUUUCAAGCACAGGAGGGACCCUACUUCUUACUGGGGAGGAUUAAGGAAGGCUUCCUGGAGGAUUGUCUCAGAGCUUGCUGCAGGUGCAUAUUGAAAAGCAAUUCAUUACAAUUUUCUAUAAGAGACUGUGGCUGAACAAUGAUACACAGGUAUGGUCAGAACUUUGUGUAACAAUUUCUGCAUCACAUGUGUAGAAAUCUUAAGGAAAGGAAUACUCUCUCUCAGCAAGUUGAGCCCUGUAGCCAGAUACUUUGAGUAGUGUUUCCUGAAUCUUUAAAACCCACUGACUUCAAAUGGCAUGACUUCCAGAGUAUAGAGGUGGGUAUAAAGAGCAACUCAGCCCCCCACACCCUUAAAAUCACAUCUUGUCAAAAACUUGAAGACUUUCAGGACUUGUGGAUUCAUUCCUCUUUCCAUCGCCACUGCAAAAGCUCAUAGGAAAUUUUUCUCUGUACAUAAAGAAGGAAAUCAUGCUCUCACAGCUGCAUCCUGAGUAAUCACUUUUGAGAUAAAACUAUUUUUCUAGCCAUAAAAGCUAUAUUUGAAUUUCACCAGCUGCUUUCUUAAUGAUUACUAGACUAUUUUGAUAAUGGCACCAGCUUCAGGAAAGGUGGUGAUGCUACCUAACCUUGCUUUGAUAAGAAAGAUUUUUGCAUCAGGGGAGAUUACACUUAUUUAAUGUAAUCCAGAUGUCUCCUUUCUCAGUGUUCCCCAAUUCUGCCAGCCUCAUUGAUCAUUCCAACUAUUAGUAUUCAAAUAAAAAUGGCUUCCAUAUGUAAAAGGAAACUCAGGAU